CCUACGGGAGGCUGCAGUGGGGAAUAUUGGACAAUGGGGGGAACCCUGAUCCAGCCAUGCCGCGUGUGUGAAGAAGGCCCUCGGGUUGUAAAGCACUUUCAGUGAGGAAGAACGCCUGGUGGUUAAUACCCAUCAGGAAAGACAUCACUCACAGAAGAAGCACCGGCUAACUCCGUGCCAGCAGCCGCGGUAAUACGGAGGGUGCGAGCGUUAAUCGGAAUUACUGGGCGUAAAGCGCGCGUAGGUGGCUUGAUAAGCCGGUUGUGAAAGCCCCGGGCUCAACCUGGGAACGGCAUCCGGAACUGUCAAGCUAGAGUGCAGGAGAGGAAGGUAGAAUUCCCGGUGUAGCGGUGAAAUGCGUAGAGAACGGGAGGAAUACCAGUGGCGAAGGCGGCCUUCUGGACUGACACUGACACUGAGGUGCGAAAGCGUGGGUAGCAAACAGGAUUAGAUACCCUAGUAGUC
rnacentral:rRNA from 1 species